rnacentral:rRNA from 1 species
GAUGAACGCUGGCGGCGUGCCUAAUACAUGCAAGUCGAGCGAACAGACGAGGAGCUUGCUCCUCUGACGUUAGCGGCGGACGGGUGAGUAACACGUGGAUAACCUACCUAUAAGACUGGGAUAACUUCGGGAAACCGGAGCUAAUACCGGAUAAUAUAUUGAACCGCAUGGUUCAAUAGUGAAAGACGGUUUUGCUGUCACUUAUAGAUGGAUCCGCGCCGCAUUAGCUAGUUGGUGAGGUAACGGCUUACCAAGGCAACGAUGCGUAGCCGACCUGAGAGGGUGAUCGGCCACACUGGAACUGAGACACGGUCCAGACUCCUACGGGAGGCAGCAGUAGGGAAUCUUCCGCAAUGGGCGAAAGCCUGACGGAGCAACGCCGCGUGAGUGAUGAAGGUCUUCGGAUCGUAAAACUCUGUUAUUAGGGAAGAACAGAUGUGUAAGUAACUAUGCACGUCUUGACGGUACCUAAUCAGAAAGCCACGGCUAACUACGUG